CAGCUACCCAGCAAUGGGAUGCGAAUCUCGAAAGCCUGUCUCAGUUCGGAUUGGAGGCUGAAACCCGCCUCCAUGAAGUUGGAUUCGCUAGUAAUCGCGCAUCAGCCAUGGCGCGGUGAAUACGUUCCCGGGCCUUGUACACACCGCCCGUCAAGCCAUGGGAGCCGGGGGUGCCUGAAGUUCGUGACCGCAAGGAGCGACCUAGGGCAAAACUGGUGACUGGGGCUAAGUCGUAACAAGGUAUC
rnacentral:rRNA from 1 species